rnacentral:rRNA from 1 species
AUGGCUUGUGUGAAGUCAGACAAAUAUUCUAUCAAAUUCAAUGGACAACUGCUUGAGAGUUUCAUCCCUUCUAGAGGACUGAGGCAAGGUGACCCUUUAUCACUGUUCUUAUUUCUUUUUGUUGUUGAUGCCCUAUCUGCUUUAUUCUCAAAAUCAAUGGAGGAAGGGUCCCUAAAGGGAGUGUCUAUCUGUCGUGGUGCACCAGUUAUUUCCCACCUGCUUUUUUUCGAUGAUACUAUGUUGAUGUUUGAGGCGUCUGGCCAGCAAGCGAGCAUUGUCAAGGGGCUAUUGAACACUUAUACUUCUGCAACGGGCAAGCUCAUUAACCCAGAGAAGUGUUCCAUCCUUUUUUCAGACAAUUGUUCGACUGUGGUGGUAGAUGAAAUCAAGAGCACACUUGCCGUUACGUAA